rnacentral:tRNA from 1 species
GGGGUUGUGGCUCAAUGGCAGAGUACUUGCCUAGCAUGUAUGAGGCACUGGGUUCGAUCCUCAGCAACACAU